rnacentral:sRNA from 17 species
CAUUUGUUAUCAUUGGUCACAUUGAAAAUGUGAAAUAAGCACCUACAACAUAGACUUUACAACACUUCAUGGUUCGAUCCGUGAGGUGUUUUUCU